rnacentral:lncRNA from 1 species
UAAAAAAAAAAAAAACUAGCAAUCUACUUAAAUUUUAUAAAAUUUAAAAUGGUAUGUAAAAUUAAUGAUUUAAUUAAGAAUCAAACCAACAUUUUGUAUAUGACUGAAAAUUCAUUAGGGUAUACAUAUAAAUAUAUUAUAAUUAAUAAAUAAUGUUAAAAAGUCUAAAUUUAAACAUUUUUCUUUUUAUUAUACACAUUAUAUAGUGUAGCACAAUAAAUAAAAAAUUAUCAGGUUAAUUCGAUUUAAUAUAAAUAAAUAGAAUUAACGUGACUUGAUCCAACAUAACUUAUUUAACAUGUCUUGAUAUAAUUCAAAUAUUUUAGAUCUUUAUUAAAUAAUAUAAUACAUGAAAUUUAAAAAUUAAUAUGUAUUAAUACACAAAAGGGACUCCAAUCCUCUUAAUUGUAAUACACAUUCUUAAAAUAUACCACUUUGUACUUGUUAAAAAUAAGCCUAAUGCUAUGAGUUCUUAAGGCUUUUACUUCUUGUUAGUGCUUGUGGUAACUAUAAUACUUAUGAGCACAUAGCUUGUUUGGAGAAGAAAAUGAAUGUAUGUGAGUCAAAAAGCUUAUACCAAGGCAUGGCGUAGCCUGCAUUUUCUAGUAUACUGUAAGAUUUAAAUCUAAUAAAUAACUUUAUGGUGAGGCUAAGAGAAGUAUGUAUUUGUAUCUGAAAUAUAUGUAUUCUAAAAGAAAAACAAUAUAUAUUUUUACUCAUUUCUAUACAUAAUUAAUGGCUGAAAAGUCAUUGAUCAUAUGAGCACGUACCUUUUUAUCCUCACCCAUAUUUUUUUUUAAUGAUAUCUUUAAUAUAUAUUUAAAAAUUGUUCAUAAAUUAGAUCAUUUCAUUUUGACUAAAGCAUUAAAUAGUCGACUGCUUACAUUAGCUGCCCUUGCAUAAUACAAAACUUGAUGCACUAAUACAACUAACCAUCAUUUUAGACCAUGAAAGAUUAAAAGUUCAUUUCAUUAUCCUUUAGUCUCAUACAUCUAACAUAUAGGGUAAUCAACAUAUAACAUACACGUAGAGUCCUCUCCACUAUUUCAAAUCUUACUUUAUUCAAUUGAACGAUCAUUACAGCCUGAUAGGAAAUCAAAAUCUCUCUUAGGAGCAUUGUUGGAGGAAUCAAUCAUCUAAACUUUCUGCCAAGCUGCACUAAGCUACUUCAUGUUUCAUCUCAUCAACUCAUUUUUUACUUUUGAUUUCAAGCCUUUUAAAAAGUAAAAUAGCCAGUCCACUACCAUCAUUCAAAAGUUUCUUGCUCCAAAAUUUUAGUUUUGUGCACCUCAUAGGCCCCCUAAUUAAGGAUUGUUGGUAGUUGUCACUAGGAAAUUCACUUCCCUUUUCAAUUCUUACAACUAACCUUGAGAAAAGCUUAUAAUUCCUUUGACAUCAACCUUAGCAUCAUCUACAUUCUCUAUGAGGCAGUUAUGUGAGGCGAUGAUGUAUUUUAGGCUUUUUCUGGUAUCUUCCAUAUGAGAUAUUACAGUCUAAACUUCUGGCAUCUUAGCUUUUAAUUUCCUCAUUUGAGCAUUUCUUGCAUGCAUUGGGCUUUCAGUUUACCCUAUUGGCUCACCCUGAGAUUGACUCGACCAAAUUUAGGUGGCUUCAAUCUCUAUUACACGCUCUGAACCCUAAAUUGGUAGGCAAGAUAGUUGGUGGAACUCAAGCUCUAUUAGCACCUUCACCUCCAUUUACUGUGGCUACCACAACCAAGAGACAUUCAGUUUUAUCUUCUAACACUUUAAUGCACUUCUCUUGUAGUUCAAGAAUGAGAAAAAUUGACUCAAGCUCUAUAGUUAGCUUCUCAUAAAUGGGGCAAUCAUUAGCCUGAGCAAAAAGCUCUUUGACUUAGGGCAUUAAAACAUAUAGUAGAUUUUUGUCAUACAUGUACACCAUUCAUACAUCGUUUAUUUCUCAAUACCAGCUUCAGUCCAGAUUUUAAAACACACCUUACCCUUAUGGAACUUAAUUUGAACUCUUGCAAGAUAAGUCAGACAAAAGAAUCUCACAAUAAUUUGCACAUAGAUAAGAGUAAAUUAGCAUAGGCUAGCAAGCCAAUUAGAAUAACAACAUAAGCAUUGUAUUUAAGCAAUUAUCACAAGUUUGACAAACACAAUAAACAAUGAGGCAAAAACAUUGAAUGAACAUGUUUCUUCUCUCAUUCUUAUGAAAUUAUCAAUAUACUAAAAUUAUAAUCUUCACAUCACUGGUAAGCAAGGGGAAAUCAACAAAGAGUAAAGGGCAAAUACUUAAUAAGUUUAGUGGUUAGCAGUAACUGUUGUUCAAGAAUGGCUAGCUAAUCAUUCACUCUUAAAGAACUUAGGAACACAAUAGGGUGUGGCCCUUUGAAUUACAUAAAUAUCAAAUUAAUAAAUAUCAUCCUCUUUAUUACCUAAGAUUACAUCCUUCUACCUAAAUCUCUAGCCCCUUUUAACACGUGUGAUAAAUGGUUUGAUCAGAGUCAAAGGCUUGAUUCUCUCUCUAUCUCUUUAGAAGUUGAUGCAUACCAAUAUCAAUUGGCUAUAGGAUCUAACAAAUGUUUAGUCAGGUGAUGGUGAGGAAAUAAGUGGUUGAAAGAGGUUUGCUAAAGGUGCCAAAAUCUAGCAGGUUUUGUUUUUGGGUUUUCAAGUACCCAACGAGAUCUUACUUCUCGUUGAUAAAGUGAUACGAAUCAAAUUAAAUAAAAAUGAAAAAUUGAAUUAAUUAAAAUUUAAGAUUGAACCAAAUCGAUAUUAUAUGUAAUUAAAACAAACUGAAUUGAUUUUCAUGGGUUUGGUUCGGUUCGAAAGAAAACUGAAAUUCCAAUCCAAUAAAUUUCAAUUUGCCUAAUCUCAAAUUUGUUCCCAAUCUAAGUGUUCUCAAUGAGAUUUAUCAAUUAUCAAAUUAAACCAAAAAUCAAUUUGUGAAGAUUAAUCUCAAUCUGUUCCUAAUUGCAAUAUAUUUCAAAUUCUAUUUCACCAUCUCAGCAACCAAUUUCAAUUUGCAGAAUAUCUGCAACUAAUUCCAGUUUCACUAAUUUCAAGAAAAAAAUCAAAUAAAACAACAUACAACUUUAAACAAUCAAGAAUCCAACCUUCAGUAAAUCACAUAAUAAUAAUCAACCCAAUCAAUAUUUUUGUUCAUCCAAUCUCUUCCUAUUCACAAUUGCCUCAUCUCGAUUGCGAAGAUUCUAAAAAAAAUUAGUUCAAAUAAAUCUUAGAGAAAAAAGCACAAGUAUCUUACCCAUAAACUCAAUUUUUGUAACAAUUGAUAACUAAAAAUUAACUCACAAUAAAAUUAAAAAAAAAAAAACAACAACAACAAAGCAUUAACCCAUAAUGUAUGGAGAAUAUUCACGAAAAGCCCUAGAUAGUGAAUCUUCUUCACUUCACACCAUUCAACCGAAACAAGAGGAAGGUUGUGCAUGUCCACAAAUGUCGUGUCAUUGAGCGGAAGAUGGAGCAAGAAAGACCGAGAGAAGAGAAAGGUUGCUCAAAUUGAAGAAGAACAACAACAAGAGGAAGAAGACGACUCGGGAGAAACCGAAUCAAGAAGAAGAAGACCAAAAGAGGGCAAAUGGUGGAGGUGAAGGCUAUCCAGAAUGAGAACAGAGGCAGAGAGAGGUUGAGGAAAAUGGGAGGCAACGAAAAAGGUUAGGAUUAAUAUAUAUAUAUAUAUAUAUAUGUAUAACCACUUCAAUUUCGGUUAAUUAAUGGAACCAAAUCAAAAAUUAAAAUUAAUAAAAUUUAUAAUUAAACUAAAUUUAUCGAUUAAUUUGAUUAAAAUGUUUGGGACUGGGUG